GGCAGUGGUGGCUUGGCGGUUAAGGGUCUGGGGCACUUAUCCCAGGGUCGGGGGUUCAAUCCCCAGCACUGCCA